rnacentral:rRNA from 1 species
AUGGCCAUCUUUGACGAGUUCUACGUUGUGUCCAUUGACCUCGGGCGCCUCAACUAUGGGACGAUUUCUCUUAUCUCCAAGGUUCCUGGGGGGUCUGACAUCCGUCAGUUUCACCCAAUCAUGGUCAUAAAUGUGAUCUUCCGGAUUCUGGCAAAAGGGUACGCCAAUAGGGUGACCCUGCUCGUGGAUCACAUUACCCACCCCAACCAAUCUGCCUUCAUCCAAGGCAGAUAUAUUCUGGAUGGGGUGCUAGUCCUUCACGAAGUCCUCCAUGAGGUCCGCUCCAAACACCUCAAGGCGGUCUUCCUGAAGAUCGAUUUCCAUAAGGCCUAUGACACUGUUAGCUGGCCCUUCCUUCGGGAAGUUCUU